rfam:Gossypium raimondii Chr06_contig_867, whole genome shotgun sequence.
AGAUCAAAGAGUAAUUUUUUUGUUAAAAAUUGACGUGGUUGAUAGAAUAACCGGACAAUGACACGUGAUGUGCCAUAUAUAUCUCAUGCUGACGUACAUAGUCCAAUUUUUAAUAAUAAUAAUAGAUAAAAUUUUUAACA